GUGUGUGUCUGUGUGUGUGUGUCUGUGUGUAUGUGUAUGUGUGUAUGUGUGUAUGUGUCUGUGUGUAUGUGUAUGUGUGUAUGUGUGUAUGUGUAUGUGUGUAUGUGUAUGUGUAUGUAUAUAUGUAUAUAUGUAUAUAUGCUGUUGGGGCGACCAGUGGAAUACAUGAUAGUUUUGGAGUUGAAGCUGGUCUAAACGAUAUUUAAAAAACCUUGAACUAUCCGAACUGCUCUUAGUACUCUGAUGAAGGUUGCAGUUAGCAACCGAAAAUUUAGAACUUUUUAGACUUUUUAUUGUACAUAUUCU